AUUCUCUUCAAGGCACACUUCUUCACAGAAUCAUGGGAUCAUGUAGAUUGGAGGGGACUUGCGAAGUCAUCAUCUCUAACCCCUGCUCAAACUAAUGAACAAGACCAGACUUCUGCAAACUCUCUGAGGACCACCAGAACUGGUGCAAGGGAAGGCUGGAAGCUGCAGCCAGGAGUGAAAGAUGGCUGAGAAACAAGAUCUCAUCCUAAUGGUAGUGUUCCAGGCACUACACUUCAAGAACAAUAUGAGUCAGCUGGAGAGUGUCCAGAGAAGAACCAGCAGGAAUGAUGAGAGGGUUGAAACCAUGACCUGCAAUGGAAAAAUGGAACAAACUGGAACUUCUUACCCUAAACAACAGAAAUCUGAGAAGAGAUAUCAUAAUAGACAUGAAAGAAAUGAACGGCCAUUGAAAAGAAGAAAUAAUUUAUUUUCUAUAGGACAAAAAGCAAUGGGCUUUAAUUACAGUAAAGAGGAUUCAGUUUACGUAUCGGAAACUAUAGGAAUAGAUAAUGAAUAGGAAUAGAUUGCUGUGCAGGAUGGUAUAUGGAGACUUUAAGGUUAGAGAAAUGUCAGUCAGGAAUAUUUUAGGCAUAACUGAUCCUAUAUAAGGCCAAUGAGGUCAGUGACCUCUUGAGUUUGCUUCUAUACAGGCAUGGUCCAGGUGCAGGGCAGACAAGAAGGAAGCACAGAAUUAACAGGGAUUAGUAGACAUACAGUAGUCAACAGAUUACAUAGCAGCAGAAUCAGGGGAAAGUCUCAUUGGCCUGUUUCCUUUACCUUUAGUGCCAUGGUAAGAUUUGAGCUCAAGGUAGCUACAUAUUUCUGCUAAUCCUUGAGAAACUAAAAGUUAUUGUUUCUGUAGUGAGUAUGUUGGCUUAUUGCUGGGAAGUGGUUUAUAAAGUUGGCUGGUAGAAAAAAAUUGACUGCGAAAACUGUGGAGCCUUCAGAUCCUUUCUGCGUACUAUGCCCUAUACUUGGCUGUUUGCUGUGACUCUCACGGAUGAAAACAGCGUUGUAAAACAAUGAUAGGAAUAGCCUUCUUAUUUUUUUAGUUCAGCCUCAAACUGAA